GUAGGUGGCAAGCGUUGUCCGGGAAUUAUUGGGGCGUAAAGCGCGCGCAGGCGGUUCUUUAAGUCUGAUGUGAAAGCCCACGGGCUCAACCGUGGGAGGGUCAUUGGAAACUGGAGAACUUGAGUACAGAAGAGGAAAGCGGAAUUCCACGUGUAGCGGUGAAAUGCGUAGAGAUGUGGAGGAACACCAGUGGCGAAGGCGGCUUUCUGGUCUGUAACUGACGCUGAGGUGCGAAAGCAUGGGGAGCAAACAGGAUUAGAUACCCUGGUAGUCCACGCCGUAAACGAUGAGUGCUAAGUGUUAGGGGGUUUCCGCCCCUUAGUGCUGCAGCUAACGCAUUAAGCACUCCGCCUGGGGAGUACGGCCGCAAAGGCUGA
rnacentral:rRNA from 1 species